rfam:Erinaceus europaeus unplaced genomic scaffold scaffold00085, whole genome shotgun sequence
GGGUCCAUCCUAAUCUCUGCUGGCCGGCCUGUGGUCUCCAGGGUUCACUUGUGGACCAGAGCAUCCUAGAAGUCCCAUCCUCCAGUGAGGGCCUCUGUGGCCCUUUGCACAGGUGCUUCUGGACAUCC